GGAGGUACAGCUCAAGUGGUAGAGCCCAUGUGUAGCAUGCCCGAGGUCCUGGGUUCAAGUCCCAGUGCCUCCU
rnacentral:tRNA from 1 species